UACGAAGGGGGCUAGCGUUGCUCGGAAUGACUGGGCGUAAAGGGCGCGUAGGCGGUUUGUACAGUCAGGUGUGAAAUUCCCGGGCUCAACCUGGGGGGCUGCACUUGAUACGUAGGAACUGGAGUGGGGAAGAGGGUCGUGGAAUUCCCAGUGUAGAGGUGAAAUUCGUAGAUAUUCGGAAGAACACCAGUGGCGAAGGCGGGCUCACUGGCCCGGUACUGACGC
rnacentral:rRNA from 1 species